ensembl:lncRNA
UGCUGAACUGGGGACUCCUCACCUCUGGGUGAGCUGUGACUCCUCUAUCCCAAGGGAUGGUGACUGCUCUGAGCUACCUGACAUGCCCCUGGAAAGAUGUUUAUCUUCAAAGACAUUUUGCUAGCCGUUAGCAAAGAGUAAUUUUCAAACACUCUAGGAAAUAAAAUUCUACAGAUUUUGAAGAUACUAAAAGUCCCAGAUCAUUAUUACCUGGUAUUAGGAAUUAUGUUUCCCAAUUCUGUGUAGAAUAGUCAGGCAUAUAUUGGAGGUGGAAGGAACAUCAAUCCUCUGUAGCCUUACUGCCCUGGUUCAGAAUAUCCUGGGCAUAGUGGAUCCAGGAAAGGCUCUUCCUCCUUCUUUCUAGGGAUCAUCUCCAAGCCCAUCAUUUCUGAAAUGCUUUUUUACUGGUGAAGGGGCAGUCUUCCGGGGCAAGUCCCUGAGCAGUGUCUUCUGGGCAAAAGACUAUGGUGAGGUCUGCCAGCACCCAGCCUGGGACAGAAGUCCACAGCAGCGGAGCCAGAGCUCUGAGGAGGCACUGCAGGUUCCCUCCCCGAUCCAGUCAAAAGAACCUGAUCUGCUCUGAAAGCCAGGAUUUUCUUCCAGAAUAUCAAGGGUCUGGUUCUUUUGGGCCCAACUGCAAAUCCAGGAGCCUUUGUCUGUAUUCUACAGAGCUCUGUCACUGCAAACAGACUCCUUUGGUUUCCAAGUAAGUCAAGCCCAGGACUUGUCCUGUGUUCUCUCCCUUUAUAUUUGUAUUACUGUUCCAUUACAUACAGCAGGGUGCUUCAGAGAGGAGAUGAAAAGAAGCUUGGAAGUUUGCCUCUAUAAAUGUGUGAAUUUAUUUUUAAACCUCUUGAAUUAUUUACUUUGUCUGCCUUUUUCAAUGACAGGUGAAUAUGUUUGUGACUUGUUCUCUUUCCCAAGGAAGCACUUGGUUGAAGUGAAUUAAUUACGUGUAGAGUAAAUGCAGCUGAUGUUAAUUUUCAAGUCAAGUUUUAGCUUUGCUGAAAUUUCAGAAAGAAAGUAGUGUUUUAUAAAUUAAAUGCUGCUUUGUGUGCUUUCUUUUUAAAGAAGGCUUGGCAUCUGGAAAGAAAGCAGGGAGAGAAAACAAACAUACUAAAUGAUGGAAACUCGUCUUUAAGGAUAUACUCCAUCAGCUAUCAGUACACAACUGUGAGAGAUCCAUGUGGCAGCUCAUCAACAGUAUAUUGAGGCUCCAGCAGCACCCCAACACCUUUGGCAGGAAUUGGUUUCAGUGGCAAAUUGCUGGUCUCUGGCAGGAGCUGCUGCUUUGACCUGACAGGGUGAUUAGAUUGGUUGCUCCUCUCUGUAACAGUACAUGCCAUGUGCUCUACCAGGAGAACCUCAUUCUUCUUCAGAGUGGUGUAGAUUCUGAUCCCAUGAGAGCUGAACUGACAGGAUCCUGGGCUGCCAGGCAUUGCCAGUGGGAUAGAUGAACCCUAGUUUCCCUUUGCUGUUCCAUCUGAGGCUCUAGUGAGCUUUUCAGAUCCUCUCUCCAGAAGGUUGGGCUGAUCUUAGAAUAACUCCUGUGGUGUGAGUUGUCUUGGGAGCACAGCACUUAGCUGGAUUGGUGCAGUGUGUUGAGACAGUGGCUCUGGAUCUGGCUGGACUCUCCUGAGGCAGGAGAUGCCCUGCAGGUCCCCAGCAGACAGGCCAGUUGUUAGAACAAUGAUUGUGGCAGAUGCUUGC